GGCGCGGACGGGAUUCUCCGGCUGGGCGCGCCACCCCGACAGUGGCAGCAGCGGCCGUGGAGGCUGCGGGGGUCCCGGCCUCUGCGGUCUCUCUGGCCGGCCGCAGCUGUGGCGCGGGUGAAACGCCCGCCCUCCUCCUUCGGCUGCGUCUCCCGGGCGCCGGCGAGCGCGGGCGUUCCUCGCACUCAGCGCCUGGAGCCGCCUGGAGCCCCGCUGCGCGCACUUCCCCGGCUCGCGGAGCCCCUCCGGCGGCGUUUCCCACGCCGCGGACUGCAGGUGAUGCUCUUCCUCUUCUGCAGCCGAAAUUCGUCGCGAUGUGUCGCCUGCCAGAUUUUUGCUGGGCGGAAGCAUGAACAGUCUCUGCAGACUGGCCUGGACGACUUGUACUUUGUGGCCCUCCAACUUCUGGAUGUGAAUUUUUUUUCACGACUUAUUAUUAUGCUCUUCGUGGUCUUUGUGUUGAAAAUCACGGAGCUGUAUUUUUAUUUUCAAAUUCUUUCCCAAUGCUCCUCUUGUCUUGACCGUACUCUGAAGCUUAUAAGGUUCUGAGAGGAGGGGGCGAAGGGAUAGGGGAGGAGCCAGUUCCUAAUGUGUCUUACAAGUCAUCCCUAGUGAUAGGGGCUAAUACGCAAAUCACUGUCUCCUCCUCGAAAUAAUAUCCAUUUAGAUAAAUGCAAACACUGUUGAGGUUUAAUUUAUAAAGAAUGCGUCGUCUUUAUGUAAGUGUCCAGCCUCCAGGAAAAUAUCUGCUGUGGAAUAUAUUUUUAAUGCCACUAAAGUACCAAAAUACCUCCCCGAACAGCGUGAAAUUCCGAGGGAGCCAUUUCUGAAUUAUUUUAAAGAAAAAAUAAAUUGAUGUACUUCAGCUCAUUGGUCAGCAGGAAUUGGGCCUAACUCCAAUGAUAAGAUUGAAGGAUUCUUGAAGCUUUCUCUUAAUGGUGAGUAUACCAAUCUGCUUGGGCUGCCAUAACAAAAUGCCAUCGAAUGGGUGGCUUAAAUAAUAGAAAUGUAUUUUCUGAUGUUUCUGAGGGCUAGGAAUCCAAGAUCAAGGUGCC
rnacentral:lncRNA from 10 species